rnacentral:lncRNA from 1 species
GAGGCGGGAGGCGUCCGGGACCAGUGGCGCACCUCGCCUGCACCUCGGGGUUUUCGGCUAGGACAGCCCGAUGGUGUGGAGAAAAACAGUGCUGGAGAUUCACGGAGAGUCGUGACAAACCGAAUUGCUCACUCCCCAUUCUAUUAUUUCCUUUAUUACAGGAGGUGGGAAGAGCAGCAACAAAAGGGCAAAAAUGGGAAAUUUCAAGGCACAGUGGGGCUGGGAGUGAGUGAAUGUGGUCAUUAAUGCAAGGCUCGUGUUGGCGAGGGAUGGCAGAGAAGACUGGAAAGCUAGGGCAGAGUCAGCCUGCGCCAGUGCUCAGAGGUUAAGGCGGCGAGAGCUGGGCUCCAGCAAGGAGAACGGAAGGGUUUUCAGCAGCAAAGUAAAAUCGUGAGCCUAGUCCUAGUGUUUUAGGGGGGAUCAGUUUACCAACUUGGUAAGAGUCGCUGGGAAGGGAGAUAAGUGGCAAGAAAGCAAGCUAGCCCAUGUGAUGGUGCACACCUGAAAUCCCAGCAUUUGGGAGGCUGAGGCAGGAGAAUCGCUGUGAGUUCGCGGUCAUCCUAGGCUACAUAGUGAGACUCUGUCUCAAAAAAAGCAACAGCCGGGGAUUUAGCUCAGUGGUGCCGCCAUCUGCCUUGAAAGUGCAAGGUCCUGAGUUUGAUACCCGUACCAAAAAAACCCCCCAAAACAAAAAAAAGUAACUCAAAAAAAUAACAACAGGGCUGGGAUGUAGCUCAGAGGUGUUGCACCUGCCUGGCAAGCGUAAAGUCCUGAGUUCAAUUCCUGUACCGAAAAAACAAAAAACAACAAAGUUAGAAAACUAAGCUGCAUAGCACACAGCAAAGGCCUUAAAACAAAACAAAACAAACCUUGCAAGUAUUACCAUGGAACUGCUGCCUGCAAUUUGAGAACUCUUAAAGAAUAGAUAAACCCUGGAAGAUUUAGACAAGUGAUAUUAAAAGUCUGUGCAGUGAUCACUUAAGUGUCCAUCCAGGGCCUGUUUGCCCUUGAGCCAAC